GGAAUAAAAGACUACACAUGGGGUACAGUGUACACUGCUUGGGUGACAGGUACACCAAAAUCUAAGAAAUCACCACUAAGUAACGUAUUCUUGUAACCAAAAACCACCUAUUCCCUAAAAACUAUUGGGAAAAAAAU